rnacentral:rRNA from 1 species
GGAUGAAAGCAGGGGACCGCAAGGCCUUGUGCUCCUGGAGCGGCCGAUAUCUGAUUAGCUAGUUGGUAGGGUAAAGGCCUACCAAGGCAUCGAUCAGUAGCUGGUCUGAGAGGACGACCAGCCACACUGGAACUGAGACACGGUCCAGACUCCUACGGGAGGCAGCAGUGGGGAAUUUUGGACAAUGGGCGCAAGCCUGAUCCAGCAAUGCCGCGUGAGUGAAGAAGGCCUUCGGGUUGUAAAGCUCUUUUGUCAGGGAAGAAACGGUUUCGGCUAAUAUCCGGAGCUAAUGACGGUACCUGAAGAAUAAGCACCGGCUAACUACGUGCCAGCAGCCGCGGUAAUACGUAGGGUGCAAGCGUUAAUCGGAAUUACUGGGCGUAAAGCGUGCGCAGGCGGUUUUGUAAGUCUGUCGUGAAAUCCCCGGGCUCAACCUGGGAAUGGCGAUGGAGACUGCAAGGCUAGAAUCUGGCAGAGGGGGGUAGAAUUCCACGUGUAGCAGUGAAAUGCGUAGAGAUGUGGAGGAACACCGAUGGCGAAGGCAGCCCCCUGGGUCAAGAUUGACGCUCAUGCACGAAAGCGUGGGGAGCAAACAGGAUUAGAUACCCUGGUAGUCCACGCCCUAAACGAUGUCUACUAGUUGUCGGGUCUUAAUUGACUUGGUAACGCAGCUAACGCGUGAAGUAGACCGCCUGGGGAGUACGGUCGCAAGAUUAAAACUCAAAGGAAUUGACGGGGACCCGCACAAGCGGUGGAUGAUGUGGAUUAAUUCGAUGCAACGCGAAAAACCUUACCUACCCUUGACAUGGAAGGAAUCC